rnacentral:rRNA from 1 species
CACGUAGGGUCCGGGCGUUGUCCGGAAUUACUGGGCGUAAAGCGUGCGCAGGCGGUUGGGUCAGUCGCUGGUGAAAGCCCCACGCUCAACGUGGGAAUGGCCAACGAGACGGCCCGACUGGAGGCAGGGAGAGGCCGGUGGAAUUCCUGGUGUAGCGGUGAAAUGCGCAGAUAUCAGGAAGAACACCCGUGGCGAAGGCGGCUCUCUGGGACGGUACUGACGCUGAGACGCGAAAGCGUGGGGAGCGAACAGG